GGAUGUGAGGCUGAUCUGGCUGCGACAUGUCACCUCACUGAUCUCCAGGGUUGAUUGGGCUUAUAUGGCCAAGGUGGGUGUCCUCUUCCCCAAUCACCUCUCCAUGUGUGUUCCUUCUGAAGUGGUUGGUUCAAGAGGAUGACCUUCCUCCAUAGAGGAGAACCAUUCCUUGAUAAAGGGCAUCUGUUCUCCCCUGCUAAAACCUCCAAACAAGCUCUCCAGUAAGGUUUAU
rnacentral:lncRNA from 1 species